UUGAACGCUGGCGGCAUGCCUUACACAUGCAAGUCGAACGGCAGCACGGGUGCUUGCACCUGGUGGCGAGUGGCGAACGGGUGAGUAAUACAUCGGAACAUGUCCUGUAGUGGGGGAUAGCCCGGCGAAAGCCGGAUUAAUACCGCAUACGAUCCACGGAUGAAAGCGGGGGACCUUCGGGCCUCGCGCUAUAGGGUUGGCCGAUGGCUGAUUAGCUAGUUGGUGGGGUAAAGGCCUACCAAGGCGACGAUCAGUAGCUGGUCUGAGAGGACGACCAGCCACACUGGGACUGAGACACGGCCCAGACUCCUACGGGAGGCAGCAGUGGGGAAUUUUGGACAAUGGGCGAAAGCCUGAUCCAGCAAUGCCGCGUGUGUGAAGAAGGCCUUCGGGUUGUAAAGCACUUUUGUCCGGAAAGAAAUCCUUGGCUCUAAUACAGUCGGGGGAUGACGGUACCGGAAGAAUAAGCACCGGCUAACUACGUG
rnacentral:rRNA from 1 species